rnacentral:lncRNA from 1 species
UUUUUUCUCCCAAAGUUUCGUGGACAUGAAUAAGGAGUCAACUCCAGUAUGUUUCUUCUUAUGAAUUUCUUCUUCGAUUGUUAAAUUUCUUCUUCACCAAAUUUCUUCUUCAAUGAAUUGACCGCUGAAUUUCUUCUUCAGCGAUUUCUUCUUCACCGAUUUCUUCUUCAGUGAUUUCUUCUUCAUCAAUUUCUUCUUCAAUAAUUUCUUCUUCAUCAAUCUUUCUCGUUUUCUUCUUCCUUCUCUCAUCGCUGCUAUGGAACCAUGGUCAGAAUCCGAUGGGUCGUCGGAAAAUUGUCGACUAAAAUAGGUCGUCGGAAAUUUAUCGACUAAAAUAGGUCGUCUAAAGUUUGGGGUUGAGCAAUUUGAAGAUUCUGUUACUUUUUUUAAGAGCAUUUCGAUGUAUCUCGGUGUACUUUGUUGUAUUCACUAUCUUUUUUUUUCACUGCAAUUCAAUGUAUCUCAUUGUAUUCCGUGUAGUUCAUUGUAUUCAGUAUCUUUUUUUCUCAUUGUAUUUCGAUGUAUUCCUCUGUAUUCUAUCCAUUUCAUUGUAUUCAUUGUCUCAUUAUAUGCC